rnacentral:hammerhead_ribozyme from 1 species
AUCCAGCUGACGAGUCCUAAAUAGGGAGAAACAUGUGUCCUAAAU